CUUGAUUAAAUAUAAGAGGUCCAGCCUGCCCAGUGACAUAGUUAAACGGCCGCGGUACCCUGACCGUGCGAAGGUAGCAUAAUCACUUGUUCCUUAAAUAGGGACUUGUAUGAACGGCAUCACGAGGGCUUUACUGUCUCCUUUCUCCAAUCAGUGAAACUGAUCUCCCCGUGAAGAAGCGGGGAUGAUAAUAUAAGACGAGAAGACCCCAUGGAGCUUUAAACCCAACAACACCCCUCAACUCCUCAACCCAUUUUAGUUGCUACAGUCCUGUUUGUUGGUUUUAGGUUGGGGUGACCGCGGAGUAUAAAUCAACCUCCACGACGAAUGGGACUACCCCCUUACCCAAGAGCUACCCCUCUAAGGAUCAAUAAAUUGACGUUAAAUGAUCCAAGCAUUUGAUCAACGGACCA
rnacentral:rRNA from 1 species